rnacentral:rRNA from 1 species
CAGCCGCCGCGGUAAAACGGAGGGUGCAAGCGUUAAUCGGAAUUACUGGGCGUAAAGCGUGCGUGGGUGGUUCGUUAAGUCUGUUGUGAAAGCCCCGGGCUCAACCUGGGAAUGGCAAUGGAUACUGGCGAGCUAGAGUGUGUCAGAGGAUGGUGGAAUUCCCGGUGUAGCGGUGAAAUGCGUAGAGAUCGGGAGGAACAUCAGUGGCGAAGGCGGCCAUCUGGGACAACACUGACGCUGAGGCACGAAAGCGUGGGGAGCAAACAGGAUUAGAUACCCCCGUAGUCCCUGUCUCUUAUAC